rnacentral:rRNA from 1 species
UACGUAGGGGGCAAGCGUUGUCCGGAAUCAUUGGGCGUAAAGAGCGUGUAGGCGGCCCGGUAAGUCCGCUGUGAAAGUCGGGGCUCAACCCUCGAAUGCCGGUGGAUACUGUCGGGCUAGAGUGCGGAAGAGGCGAGUGGAAGUUCCUGGUGUAGCGGUGAAAUGACGCAGAUAUCAGGAGGAACACCAAUUGCGAAGGCAGCUCGCUGGGACGUAACUGACGCUGAGACGCGAAAGCGUGGGGAGCAAACAGG